AAUAGAUUCAUUCAUUCAUUCAUCUAAAUAUUUAAGGAAUGUUUCUGAUGUGGCAGGCAUUACUCUGGACGCUUGGGGUACACAGUGAACCAAACAAAGACCCCUCCUUUGUGGAUGUUCCAUUCUAGACAGACAACAGACACUGAACACGGCGAUCAGAGAGAGAUAUCACAAGUAGGCGGAGAGGCAGGCAGAGAGAGAGAGAGAGAGAGAAGGAAGCAGGCUCUCCACGGAGCAGAGAGCCCGACGCGGGGCUUGAUCCCAGGACCCUGGGACCAUGACCUGAGCUGAAGGCAGAGGCUUUAACCCACUGAGCCACCCAGGCGCCCUGUAUGUGCCCAUUUUAAAGACAGCAAUUGCAAAGCUGACCUGGAACAAUCUCGGAAUAAUUAGUUCUACUUUACUGGAUAAUUUUGAUCCAGUAUCAUGGGUUCGUCUGGUAUAAUCAAACAAUUUGCUGCUGCAGAAGAUUCUUACAGAUUGCGUUUGCUGCUCCUUUUCUUUGCAAAAACGAAAGCCUACAACGGAUGGUGAAGCCUUACAUGUGCAUCUGUUGCAGAGCUCCCCAGGUCGCAACAGUAGCUUCUGCUUCAACUCUUACCCUCGGGCCACAAGGCUGUGGUUCAAGAGGAAUAUGCCACUGCUUCCAGUGAGCCAAGAGCUCACUGCUCUCAUGGACAGCUCACUGGCUGCUGGACGGCAAGAGAAGGGGACGUUUGUGGAAGAAAGCGGAUUCUUUCCCUUUUCUGCUGGGAGAACUCUUCCCUGAGCUAAGGAGAACUUGACUACUAUUACUAUCCUCCAGGUGCAUCGUUAA